UACGAAGGGGGCAAGCGUUGUCCGGAAUCAUUGGGCGUAAAGAGCGUGUAGGCGGCUCGGUAAGUCCGUUCUGAAAGUCCAGGGCUCAACCCUGGGAUGCGGAUGGAUACUGUCGGGCUCGAGUCCGGAAGAGGCGAGUGGAAUUCCCGGUGUAGCGGUGAAAUGCGCAGAUAUCGGGAGGAACACCAAUGGCGAAGGCAGCUCGCUGGGACGUGACUGACGCUGAGACGCGAAAGCGUGGGGAGCAAACAGG
rnacentral:rRNA from 1 species